rnacentral:rRNA from 1 species
GACGAACGCUGGCGGCGUGCUUAACACAUGCAAGUCGAACGAAGAGCGAUGGAAGCUUGCUUCUAUCAAUCUUAGUGGCGAACGGGUGAGUAACGCGUAAUCAACCUGCCCUUCAGAGGGGGACAACAGUUGGAAACGACUGCUAAUACCGCAUACGAUCUAAUCUCGGCAUCGAGGAUAGAUGAAAGGUGGCCUCUACAUGUAAGCUAUCACUGAAGGAGGGGAUUGCGUCUGAUUAGCUAGUUGGAGGGGUAACGGCCCACCAAGGCGAUGAUCAGUAGACGGUCUGAGAGGAUGGACGGCCACAUUGGGACUGAGACACGGCCCAGACUCCUACGGGAGGCAGCAGUGGGGAAUCUUCCGCAAUGGACGAAAGUCUGACGGAGCAACGCCGCGUGAGUGAUGACGGCCUUCGGGUUGUAAAGCUCUGUUAAUCGGGACGAAAGGCCUUCUUGCGAAUAGUGAGAAGGAUUGACGGUACCGGAAUAGAAAGCCACGGCUAACUACGUG